CUUCCAUCCAACCCAGCGGCCGGAUUUAGACGUGCUACGCCUGCCCUUCGCUGCAGCGGACCUCUUGUUUGUCUUAAAAGUUUCACCAAAUCGUUAUUUUAAAGAAACAAGAAAAAAGGAGGCAAAUAACAAGACGUCGUUACUGCUUAAAAAGGAUGUGCCCCCCCUCCCACAGCAUACAACCCAAAAAAUAAAAAUAAAGGAACCACCUCGUCAGUCACCUUGAUAAAUCGACCCGAUGGCAGAAUGCCAAAGAGGUAACUCCAGGCCCAGGAACAUACACUGGUUCAUUAGUAACAUCUCCAAGUAAGCAACGCUCCACAUCAUCAGCCAGACUAAAUUCAUCUACUUGUUCCAGCACAUCAACAGCCUCUGGCAAUGGCGUAUUUCUAAGUCCGCAAAAGCCUGAUCGGCUCACAAGGUCCCGUUCUAUGCGUACAGUACAGGCG